AGAGAGUUCCCUAUAAAGGGUUGGUAUCUUGAAAAUACCAUAGCAAAAGGGCAGGGCUUUUGACUUUCUU
rnacentral:tRNA from 1 species